GUGGUGGAUUAAGUUCCGAUCCUUACCCUACAUAAGGAAAGAGGCCUAUGCCCAGCAGUGGAAUAUUACAAACUGAAGCGUAGCGUACCUUAAUUCUAUAUGGAAAAGGUUUUUAGACCGAGUUGGUUUAGCUGGAGCUCGAAAAUACAGUUCUGCAAGAA